GUCUCAGUCAUUUGCAAACUCUGCCAACGGAGCCCAGCCAGCGCCCGGGGUCUCUCUCUCUGCGACUCCCGCGUCCCGCUUGGCGCACCCGCUCUGUGGGUGCCUUCCCAGCUGCCAGCUGCUGCAGUGGCAUCCAGGAAAGGGAGACUGGAUUUUCUUUCUCGCCGCCUAGUCUCCUCCCGGCGGCCCGGGGGGCUAUUUCUCCGGGUCUGGUGCAAGGGGCAUCCUCCGCGCCUCCAGCGGGAAAGUGGAAGAGUGUGCGUCCUGGAUUGCAGCAGCGGCGAAAGCGGUGGCCGGGGACGAGGAGGCGGUGGCGACGCCAGCCGAAUUUCCCUUCGGAGCUCUGUGACCUUGGACAAGUUUCCACCCUGAAUCCCUGUAUCCUCCUCUGUAAAGUGAGAUGGUAGGUAAUGGCCACCGUCAAAGGAUCUCCACUGAAACUCUGGGAAAGGAGCCCACCUAAAGGAAGGGUCACUGCUGGGCUCACUGAAAGGGGGGAUUGUCUACCUCAGACCUGGCCAGGUGGAGACAAGGGCCAUUACUCAGGACACCCGAUCCAGAGAGACAGAUUCUCUUACCAGCCAUGCCUUCUCCCACCAUUCCUUCCUCCAAGGAUGCUCUUUCCCACCCCUUGUCUUCUAG
ensembl:lncRNA